rnacentral:sRNA from 1 species
GGAUUACUCCUUUACGCUUUCGCGUUUGGUUGAUAAAGAUUCGCACCUCUAUCAAACCGGGUAAUCCCACCUCUUGGCAAGACCUGCUGUCAGAUCAAAUCUGAACUACUACAGAUUAUUGUUUAGUUUAUGUGCAACUGAUCUAUUGAACGCUAAAAAUGAUCAGGCUAUUUUUGCUUUGUAG